ACUGGUUCGACGCAUCUACAGAGACUUGGUUAUCAUCAAGGUCAUGCAGAAGAAGUUGGAUGAUUUCUUUUUCCAAUUCUACCUGCCACAUCUGCUUUAAGUGAUCUAACAGCUGUUUGAGCAUCAUCACACUGCUGUCAUACUCUAGGCUACUUGCUGUUCCCCUCAGGUCCUUAGUUGUAAGUUUUAAGAGAUUGUAAACUACUUGAAUGGGAUCUUUUCUGACCACUAAUGCUCUGUUCCUGUUCCAUAUUUAUAUUUG